AACAGUAUGAGGGCAUCACACAUUUUUCCAUACAUAAUACAUUUCACGUUUCAUGUGAUUUUUCUACUUAAUUAUGGUUACUAGUUUGCAUGAUCGAAUAAACCAUAGAAUGAUAUUAAGGUUGCUAGAACUUGUGUUUAUCUUUUUGCAUAUUAUACAAUCCAAAUCAGUGCUCUCAAGUCGUUCCACUUAUACUGACAAGUGCAUGAAUUUUGGUUUUUCGGUUAACCGAACAAACCGAACCGAUAUAUUAUGG
rnacentral:lncRNA from 1 species